rnacentral:pre_miRNA from 14 species
AUCUUGCCUUGAGCAACAUCAUGGUCUUGAAAGACCCCCGGAGCGGGGAGACCCUCACUCAAGUCUCAGGAUAACGCAAUCCCCCAAGAACUCACGAGAGACC